CCUACGGGCGGCUGCAGUGGGGGAUAUUGCACAAUGGGGGAAACCCUGAUGCAGCGACGCCGCGUGGGUGAAGAAGUAUUUCGGUAUGUAAAGCCCUAUCAGCAGGGAAGAAAGAAGACGGUACCUGACUAAGAAGCCCCGGCUAACUACGUGCCAGCAGCCGCGGUAAUACGUAGGGGGCGAGCGUUAUCCGGAUUCACUGGGUGUAAAGGGAGCGUAGACGGCCGUGCAAGCCAGGAGUGAAAGCCCGGGGCCCAACCCCGGGACUGCUCUUGGAACUGUGCGGCUGGAGUGCGGGAGGGGCAGGCGGAAGUCCUGGUGUAGCGGUGAAAUGCGUAGAUGUCAGGAGGAACACCGGCGGCGAAGGCGGCCUGCUGGACCGCGACUGACGUUGAGGCUCGAAAGCGUGGGGAGCGAACAGGAUUAGAUACCCUGGUAGUC
rnacentral:rRNA from 1 species